CCUACGGGUGGCUGCAGUAGGGGAUAUUGCACAAUGGGCGGAAGCCUGAUGCAGCAACGCCGCGUGGGCGAUGAAGGCCUUCGGGUCGUAAAGCCCUUUUGCGGGGGAAGAGGAAGGACAGUACCCCGUGAAUAAGCCUCGGCUAACUACGUGCCAGCAGCCGCGGUAAAACGUAGGAGGCGAGCGUUAUCCGGAUUUACUGGGCGUAAAGCGCGUGCAGGCGGCAUGGAAAGUUGGAUGUAAAAGCUCCCGGCUCAACUGGGAGAGGUCGUUCAAAACUACCAAGCUAGAGUACAGUAGAGGGAAGUGGAAUUCCGGGUGUAGUGGUGAAAUGCGUAGAUAUCCGGAGGAACACCAGUGGCGAAAGCGGCUUUCUGGACUGUAACUGACGCUCAGACGCGAAAGCUAGGGUAGCAAACGGGAUUAGAUACCCCAGUAGUC
rnacentral:rRNA from 1 species